rnacentral:sRNA from 1 species
CAGCUUAUCUCGUGCUGGACCUAGGCCA